UACGGAAGGCAGCAGUAGGGAAUCUUCCGCAAUGGACGAAAGUCUGACGGAGCAACGCCGCGUGAACGAUGAAGGCUUUCGGGUCGUAAAGUUCUGUUGUUAGGGAAGAACAAGUACCGGAGUAACUGCCGGUACCUUGACGGUACCUAACCAGAAAGCCACGGCUAACUACGUGCCAGCAGCCGCGGUAAUACGUAGGUGGCAAGCGUUGUCCGGAAUUAUUGGGCGUAAAGCGCGCGCAGGCGGUCCUUUUAAGUCUGAUGUGAAAGCCCACGGCUCAACCGUGAGGGUCAUUGGAAACUGGGGACUUGAGUGCAGAAGAGGAGAGUGGAAUUCCACGUGUAGCGGUGAAAUGCGUAGAGAUGUGGAGGAACACCAGUGGCGAAGGCGACUCUCUGGUCUGUAACUGACGCUGAGGCGCGAAAGCGUGGGGAGCGAACAGGGAUUAGAUACC
rnacentral:rRNA from 1 species